GACGAACGCUGGCGGCGUGCCUAAUACAUGCAAGUAGAACGCUGAAGGAGGAGCUUGCUCUUCUGGAUGAGUUGCGAACGGGUGAGUAACGCGUAGGUAACCUGCCUGGCAGCGGGGGAUAAGUAUUGGAAACGAUAGCUAAUACCGCAUAACAUUAGAUGCUGCAUGACAUUUACGUAAAAGGUGCAAUUGCAUCACUACCAGGUGGACCUGCGUUGUAUUAGCGAGUUGGUGGGGGAACGGCUCACCAAGGCGGCGAUACAUAGCCGACGUGAGGGGGGGGUCGGCCACACUGGGAGUGAGACACGGCCCAGACUCCUACGGGAGGCAGCCGGAGGGGAUCAUUGGAAAUGGACGGAAGUCUGACUGAGCCACGCCGGGUGAGGGAAGGAGGGUCUCCGAUCGGUAAGCUCCGUUGUUAGAGAAGAACGAGUGUGAGAGUGGAAAGUUCACACUGUGACGGUAUCUGAACAGAAAGCGACGGCUAACUACGUG
rnacentral:rRNA from 1 species